rnacentral:rRNA from 1 species
GACGAACGCUGGCGGCGUGCUUAACACAUGCAAGUCGAACGAUGAACCCGGAGCUUGCUCCGGUGGAUUAGUGGCGAACGGGUGAGUAACACGUGAGUAACCUGCCCUUGACUCUGGGAUAACUGCGGGAAACUGUAGCUAAUACCGGAUACGACCCUCGGCGGCAUCGCCAGGGGGUGGAAAGAAUUUCGGCCAAGGAUGGACUCGCGGCCUAUCAGCUAGUUGGUGAGGUAACGGCUCACCAAGGCGACGACGGGUAGCCGGCCUGAGAGGGUGACCGGCCACACUGGGACUGAGACACGGCCCAGACUCCUACGGGAGGCAGCAGUGGGGAAUAUUGCACAAUGGGCGCAAGCCUGAUGCAGCAACGCCGCGUGAGGGAUGACGGCCUUCGGGUUGUAAACCUCUUUUAGUAGGGAAGAAGCGAGAGUGACGGUACCUGCAGAAAAAGCACCGGCUAACUACGUGCCAGCCGCCGCAGUAA